rnacentral:rRNA from 1 species
CCUACGGGCGGCAGCAGUGAGGAAUAUUGGUCAAUGGACGAGAGUCUGAACCAGCCAAGUAGCGUGAAGGAUGACUGCCCUAUGGGUUGUAAACUUCUUUUAUAUAGGAAUAAAACGAGGCACGUGUGCCUUUUUGCAUGUACCUUAUGAAUAAGGAUCGGCUAACUCCGUGCCAGCAGCCGCGGUAAUACGGAGGAUCCGAGCGUUAUCCGGAUUUAUUGGGUUUAAAGGGAGCGUAGAUGGGUUGUUAAGUCAGUUGUGAAAGUUUGCGGCUCAACCGUAAAAUUGCAGUUGAUACUGGGAGUCUUGAGUACAGUUGAGGUAGGCGGAAUUCGUGGUGUAGCGGUGAAAUGCUUAGAUAUCACGAAGAACCCCGAUUGCGAAGGCAGCUUACUAGACUGUGACUGACAUUGAUGCUCGAAAGUGUGGGUAUCAAACAGGAUUAGAUACCCCUGUAGUC